CCUACGGGAGGCAGCAGUGGGGAAUAUUGGACAAUGGGCGCAAGCCUGAUCCAGCCAUGCCGCGUGUGUGAAGAAGGCCUUUUGGUUGUAAAGCACUUUAAGCGAGGAGGAGGGCACUUUGGCUAAUACCCGAAUGUGUCGGACGUUACUCGCAGAAUAAGCACCGGCUAACUCUGUGCCAGCAGCCGCGGUAAUACAGAGGGUGCGAGCGUUAAUCGGAAUUACUGGGCGUAAAGCGCGCGUAGGCGGUUAUGUAAGUUGGAUGUGAAAUCCCCGGGCUUAACCUGGGCACUGCAUUCAAAACUGCAUAGCUAGAGUAUGGGAGAGGAUGGUAGAAUUCCAGGUGUAGCGGUGAAAUGCGUAGAGAUCUGGAGGAAUACCGAUGGCGAAGGCAGCCAUCUGGCCUAAUACUGACGCUGAGGUGCGAAAGCAUGGGGAGCAAACAGGAUUAGAUACCCGAGUAGUC
rnacentral:rRNA from 1 species